CGCGCCCUUAGGGGAAGCAGAGGGCAGCGGGGAGGGAGUUGGGGAGUAGGGCAACAUUGCAGAGCCGCCCUCGGGCCGUUGCGGAGCAGGGAUGGUGGCUGCUCAGCGCUAGGAGAGAAGAGCUAACAAAGUAAAUCUAUGGAAGAGUUGGAAACCACAUCCAGAUACUCUGAGCCCCAGUGACUGGCUGAAAGUUAACAUCUCGUGCUUUGAGGUGGCCGAUGCCGUGUUUAGUUCUCAGAAAGUAUCAGCUCAAUUUGAAGCAAUAGUUUACAAUGUUACGAACCUUUAGGAAAGGGAUGGAAAAGACAGAAAAUAUCGUAACAGUGUAUAAAUCCAUGGUGAGUACUUACCUGGAAUAUUGUGUGCAUUUCUGAUCUUCCCAUCUCAAAAAAACCCCAAAACUUGAAAAGGUGCAGAGCAGAGAUUAGAUUUAAAAGACUGAGGCUAUUAGAAAGGAAACAACUAUGGGAGAAUGAUAACUUUUCAUAAAAUCAUAAAUGCUGUGGAGAGUUAUUUACCCCUUCACUUUAGCACAAGAACCUGGAGUCACCAAGUGACAUUAAUAGGCAUGUGUUUUAAAACAAUCACAGUGAAGGAACUUCAUUUAAUGCAUAAUCAACUUGUGGAACUCUUUGCCAGGGGAUGUUGUGAAGGCCAAAACUAUAACUGGAUUUAAAAAAAGGUACAUUCCUAGAGGAUAGUUCCAUCAAUAGCUAUUAACCAAGAUGGUCAGGGAUGAUCUGGGUGUCCCUAGGCCUUUGAUUGCCAAAUGCUAGAACUGGAUGGUAAGGGAUGGAUCAUCUGAUAAUGGGCUGGUUAAAUCCCUUUGAAGUAUAUUGCAUUGGCUACUGUCAGAAAACAGGAUACUAGGUUAGAUGGAUCAUAGCUCUGCCCUAAUAUGGACUUUAUGUCCUUGUUACUUCACAGAUACACUGACCAGAAAGUCUUUCCCAGUACUUUUUUUGUUUCGUAGUAACAGAGAUGUAGCCGUGUUAGUCUGAUCUUGCUAAAACAAAAGAGAGUACUAUGCAGCACUUUAAAGACCAUCUUGUUAGUCUUUAAAGUGCUGUAUAGUUCUCUCUUUUUUUGUUUCAGUCAUCUGCGUCUUGAUGCUUUCAAUAGCAUUGCAAGUUGAUAACAAAUCCAGACAUUGUUAACUGGCCACUUACAAAGUUCAGUUAUAGCACUUCCGAUCCUAGUCCAAUUUCAAACAAUACAUUUCGGUUUGAAAAAUAUGAAAGAGAAUGGAAACAAACACUGUCUCUAUCUUAAGAUGCAUGAUGAAGUGUGACAAAGUGGAAGGUGGAAAAACACAACCAAAGAAUAGAGGAAAUGAUGGACCACACCUUUUUCUGGUGUAAUGUCAAGAGCCCAGAACUAUUUACCCUCACCUUAAAAUGGUGCAUAGCUGCAGAUAUAAUUAGCAGAAUAAUUAAAAUAAGAAUCAGGAGCAGAGGGGAACUAAGAAAGAUAUUUUUAAACAUGUUAUUGAUCUAGCCACAAAAAAUGUGAAAAUAACAUGUUAAACAUUCCAAAAGAAUGUGUUGCUCAUAGGUCUAUGAAGAUUUUGGGGCAUUUAACACCUUUUUAAAGUAAAAUUUCAUUAGUGUUGCUUCACCAAAAAUUAUCUUGUCAAGUGCAUUGCUAUAAAGAUAUUUAACAUAACAGAUCAAUAAAAAUGUAUUGGUCUAGCAGAACCGACUGUUGAAGUUAAACUUGUUAAAAGGAGUGAAAAAAAUAUUUCAAAGUGCAUUGAAAUUUAAGACUAUUUACUCUUCUCUAUCAUAAGCGGAGUUUCACUGUAAUUGGAGUCCCCUGUUGAUGACCAAUCUCAUUUAAAAUACAUCAGAAACUUAUUAACAUACAAAAUAUUAAUUUAAGGAGGAUGUUGGAUCCAGAAUAUGUUUUGCCAGCUCCGUGAUCCUAUUUGCUCUUUGUUGUUCUUCUGAAAAUAAAGAAACAAAAGACAGGACUAUGCAGCACGUUAAAGACUUACAAGAUGGUUUAUUAGGUGAUGAGCUUGUUAGUCUUUAAAGUGCUGUAUCGUCCUGUCUUUUGUUUCAGCAAGACCAGACUAACACGACUACAUCUCUAUUACUAUUCUGAAAAUAAAGAGAUAUUUGAUUUCUGGAAGUAACCUGUUUAGCAAGUUACCACUGAAAUGCAUGCUCACAUACUUAGUUCUUGUCUUAACUAAGGGUGGGGUGGGGGGGAAGAAGUGUUCUUGAGUUAGAUAACUUAGGGUAAAUCAUAGGCUACGUCUAUAUUGCAUGCUUAUUUCAAAAUAACUCAUGUUAUUUAGAAAUAGUGUGUCUAUACAGCAAGCCCAUUAUUUCAAAAUAAUUUUGAAAUAACUGGUUUCUUACUCUGACUUCCGCAACCCUCGUUUCAUGAGGAGUAAGGGAAGUUGAAGGAAGAGUGUUCUUCAACUUCCUGCUGUGUAGAGAGCACACACAAAAAAAUGAGUUAAGCUACUUUGACUAAAGCUAAGCAGUUAACUUAGCUGAAGUUGUGUAUCUUAACUCGACUUUAGCCCACAGUGUGAACAUACCCUUAGUGAAGAUAACCCAGUAUAGUUUUCUCAAGAGUUAUCUGGUCAAGUUAAGAGAUUAUUACUCAUCUGUGCAGUAACUAACGUUCUUUAAGAUCCCUAUGGGUGCUCCACUAUAUGUAUUUUGGUGCCCUGUGUAAAUAACUGGAGAUUUACAGCAGCAGUAAAGGUGGUGCCAUUCUCUUCUUUGAGGAAUGUCCCCAUGGGGGGUUCCACUGUAGGUGGCUACAGAACACUACCUUAUGCAAUUGGAAGGAGGGGCUUCAGAGGUUAUCCAUGUACAUUAGAGAUUUCAGCCAUGCUGAAUUGUGUGUCCUGUGAGGCAUAUUUAUGGUGUAACCAUAUUUAUGGUUUAGUAAAUGUGUGUGUUGAAGUCCAUGUGUCUGGGAAUGGUACGUUGUUCAGGAAUGCUGUAGAGGCAGCCAGGGCAACCUUCAUUUAUAGGUGCAGUAAUAGUAGAUGGCCAUGGGUUCUUUUGUGAGGAUUCUGAGGACAAGGUUGAUAUCUCAUAACAGUGCUGGUUGUUUUAUGGGAAGGAAAACAUUCAGUCACUUCAGAAAUUAUUCUUCGGUGUGCGAAGACAGUGUGGCCAUCUAUCCCAUUAUGUUCACAUCAGAUUGCUGCUAGGUAUACUUUAACUGAAGUGUUAGCAAGGCCCUGUUUCUUUAGGGAUAGUAUAUACCAUGAAAUCUGUGUUAUCUGGCACACUCAGGAUUAGGGCGUUCUGGUUAUCUAAAAAUUCUGGUUAUCUGAGGGUCCCAUCAACCUAGGAAAAACCAAUGGACAAUAGUAGUAAAACGUAGGUUUUUAGUAUCGGUAGUUUUGUAGUGUAAGGCAGUUGGUCUCACAUUUCUAUUUUGAGUUAAAGAUGAUUAGUACUUCUUAAAUAAAAAAUUGUUAAGCCAAUCACGGUAAACCAAGCCAGGCCUUUGCACCUGAAGAUGUGACAGUAUUGUGGCCGAGGGAAAUGCCGGUUAACAAAGUUUUUUGGUUAACAGAUGUUAUAGAAUGCUGACGAAUGUGGAGACAUGGAUUCUGCCCAGGUUGGAGUCUUUUGGGAACCAUCAUUCUUGAGUCGUGAGAUAGCCUGAAUGAGCCCCCCAACCCAGGAGAGAAGCAUCAGUCGUGAUGGUUGCAGACGGAGGACAUUUGUGGCAAGAAACACGAGUACCAUAGAGUUAAGUCUCUCAGCCAUGGACAGCAAGAAGGAACUGAAGCAAUCGAGGAUACCCCAUCUCUUAUAUCCUCCUGGUGGUCACAGGGGCUCUUAAGACAUAGGCACAGUCCUAAAGAACACUACUAUUCAAAAAGAAUGAUCUCAUAUGCAUGGAGCAUAUGCACACCAAGAAUGGAAUCUAUAUACAAUCAUUCAAAGAAAAGAAGUUUCACUAGUGGGAAGAUAUACAGAAGGGACCCUGACCACAGGAGCAAAAAGGCAUUGGACACAGAGCCUCUGUCAAUCGAAUCAAGCAAAAUAUGUGGCACUUCCUGUUCUCCCUGGACAACAACGAGUUUACCUGGGGAGCUCCAGAUGGACUGAUCAGUUGUGACAAGACGAGAAAGUCUUCAUGAGGCAAUCUGCCAAUGUGCUCUUGACUCCAGGAAGAUAAAUGGUCAUGAGAUGAAUGGCAUGCUCCACACAGAAGCCUCACAGCCAGAGAGCUCCUUGACAAAGGGCUGAUGACGGGAAUCCAUCUUAUUUGUUGAUGUAAAACACUGCAGUGGUUUGCCCGUCAGGAUCUGUACACUCUGCCACUCAGGCACCUGCCAAGGAGGCCCCCAGGACUUAGGAGAUGGAGGUGGCCAGAACUGCUUUCUUGUCAGUUGUGGUGUGUGAAGACCCAGGAAGCAUAGAAUGGCUCAGAAUUAUUUAUGGUUGUGCACUUUUGUAUCCAUUAACACUGAGAAGAGCCCUGUACCCUCAAAUGGAAAGUACUAGAUAAGAGGAUGGCAUUUCCUGGAACAGACCUAAGCACUGUAGCUAGGAACUCCACUUCAUCUCCACCACCCAUGCAACAACUCUGGCUGCUAAGUCUGCAGUAUUUCAGGCCAUCUGGAGAGAGCCCCAUGAACUCUUCCAGAACCAUGGCAAAACUCUUGACUGAAGUCCUGUUGGAGGUCCACUGUAAACUUGUGAAGGGAGUCCCACAGAUUACACCUCCCCAAUAAAACCUGGUGGUUGGACACCCAAAAUUGUGGACUGUACAUUCAAUAAUUAUUUCUCCUACAUAGGGCCAUUCUCCUAGCAUAUAUAUUCUUAGGUUUAGUGCUCACCUGUCCCUGCCUCCCCUUUCAUUGGCUGAUGAUACAACUACAAACUCAGUGGGGCAUGUCAGUACAGAAGAACUCAAAUCUCUUUAAGGUCCUUUAUAUAAUACUUAUUUUCUGCCCAUUUGGAAGUGGGUGGAAUAAGAUGAGAGAUUUGCCACAGCAGCUCAGCAAUCUUGAGAAGCCCUUCCUGGACCAGCAGCACAACCUGUGUUACGGGUGCAACCAAUAGCAUCUGCUCUGCCAGAUCCUUGACUUCCAUGUUUAGGCUGGAAGCCACCCUUUUGAGGAAGGCCUGGUGCUCCAAGUCAGUGGGAAGGCUGGCAUGGGAAAGGCAUGACACUCCCUUGUCCUGUGACAAAGAUGGAGAGAGGGGUUGGGGCAUCCUCCCCUUCUGGGGAUAGCUCCCAAGGUAUUGGCACCCGCUCUCUUACCUUCACGUUGGAGUCCAUACCAUGCUCCAAGCCUGGUGCCAGUGGGGCAAAGAGAAGAGAAGUGAAGUGAAUAUGGUUGCUCCCAAGAGUUUCAAUAAGGCCCCUUGCCCAGCUGCCACACCACAGCUGUUGUAGGUGCCAUGCUGGUCUCUGAAGCCAAAGGAGAUUGGAGCUUCCUUGAUAAACGACUGAACUCUGUCUCUGACUCAAAUGAUUCACCUUCUAGGGACCAGAGUGAGGCCAUGGAGACUUGCAUCUGGCAGUUUCACCACGGGGAACCACUCUUUUCAAAGAGUGGUGCUGAGGUGACAGACACUGGUGCUAUGGGAGUGAUUGGUCCUCAGCCAGUGGAGACUGACACAUUGAGGGUCAUAUGAGUGAUGGGAUCUGUGCUGAGGCAUUUGCUGGUAAGAGGUUAGCCGCUGUAAGGAAUACGAAGACCAGUGCAUUCAAUCAGACAAUCCACACCUUGUUGAAGACUACCCAUGUAAUGAUGGGAGAAUUAUGCCUCUGUUCUGAGAACCAGCUGUACUUCACUGCUCUUUGGGGUGGCUCCAUGACUGGGUUGUCAUUGGUUGUGGGUUCUUAGCCACAUCUGAUGUCAGGUAAAGCACAGGCAGCACUGGAAGUUCCAUCAGGACCCUAGCCACCUGAAAAGCCUUAGACAUUGAAGGUACUGGAAGAUCCCAGGGGUCAGAGGCAGAUCCACAGGUAGGCUAGGGGGUCCAGCCAGAGUGACAUCUUGUAGCUUGAGGGUGGGUACAUAGCCUGAUGAGGGUCCUUUGCCUAAAAGCCCCUUCCCCUUAGCAAGCCGCAUUGUUUCUCUUGCUGCUUCUUGGGAACAGUGCAGGGAGGAACCCGGUGCCAGCCAGGUACUCCAGACUAAUGUAAAGGUGCUGGGCACAGAGUCAGAGUGUGAGAGCUUUAUCACUGGUUGAAGAAUAACCUCCAUGAGGAGGCCCUUUAAGUGGAUGUCCCACUCUUUCUGAGUCCUGGAAUAAAAGUGUUUACAAAUUCUGCACUUCUCCUUUAUGUGCAACUCUCUAGCACUUCAAGCAGCUAUUGUAGAGAUCACUAACAGGCAUAGGCCUAUUGCAAGCCGAACAUAGUUUGAAGUUUGGAGAAAUAGGCAUGCCUCACUUCAGGACAAAAUUCAUGCUUUAACUACCUAAACCAGGCAUGGCCAACCCAUGGCUCUCCCCUGGCGGCUUGCAAGGCUGCCCCCGCACCUCUGAGAACAGCCCUUGCCUCCCCCGUGCUCACUGGGGUAGGGGAGCUGCCCAGUGCUUCCAAUAUGGUGGUGGCCGAAGGGACCCCGCUGAGGCCAAAAAGAUAGAAACGCGCUUCUCAAAGGGGCAGGCUUUUUUUUUUUUGCUCUACAAUUUUUCCCUAGCUCUUUGCACCGGAUCCACUAAUAUCUUGGCUCUUCGUCCGGAACAGGUUGGCCACCCCCGAACUAAACUAACAAAUAGCACUUAAUUAGCACUGUCAGCUCUCUGACAACACAGUACAAAGAAGCCAGUUAAUUGGCUGUAAGAUUCUCUAUCACAUUUGUAAAGCAAGAGGAAGGUUCUCCAACUGUCACAGGCAAUAAGAAGGAACUGAAAAGCACAUAGUGCUGACACCGCCUCACAUACCAACACAUGAGCAUGGCACUCCAGAGGGCACCAAAACUGGUUCUACAGACACUGCUAGAGCAAAAAAUUAAAAAAGCUGUGCACCUGCGGCCACGCACAUCUAGAAAGCAACCAAUAUAAGAAGAAAAAUUAUAGUUUCAGGGAGCAUACAGGCCUAAGACAAUAUAUGAUAAGGGAAUUGAUGCCCUUUAACUUUUCCUUUAACUCAAAUGCAGAUAUUGAUAACUAGGACUGGUCAGAACACAGAUUUCCAUUUCACAGGGAAAAAGGUUUUGAGUGAAAAGAACAGCUUUAAAUCAAACUGAAAUGUCAAAAAAUUCCUUUGAAAUUACAUGUCUAAAACUUUUAUUUCAAAUCAACUGAAAUACUUUGCUUUCAUAAAAUGUCAAAAAUAAAACACUUUGAUGUUUAUAAUAUUUAAUUUUACAAAUUGGUUAUGAAAGUGGUAUGCUAACUGGAAAAAGUGGUUUUCUAAUUGGUGUUGGUGGUUUGGUAACUGAUACUUGGUUUAUUCUACUGGAAUUUAUAACAGGUAUUCUAAGUGGUAAUUGGUUUAAUAACUGGUAAUUGUGGUACUGAAGUUGGUGUAAUAUAAAUAUAAAAAUGAAAUAAUGAUCUGGUAGAGCAUUUUCCCUAAUGUUAAGUGCCUGCAUUUGUUUAUAUAUGAAAGAACAGGCCUGUGCAUAUUUUACAUGUAUGCAUGCAUACACAUAUACAUACAUGAAUGUAUUAAAAUCAUAUACUAUAUAUAUUCAUAUUAACACACAGAAUGUUUUAUCAUCUGCUCCCUUCAUUUGAGAGAUAUGGUGGCUGAGAUAAUUUUUUUAUUAGACAAGCUUGUCUCUCUCAGAAAUAGAAUUUGGACCAAUAAAAGAAAUUAUCCUACCAUGUGAUACUGUAAUAAUUUUCUGUGAGAAAACAUAUACUUUAUUAU